rnacentral:rRNA from 1 species
AUGCAAGCUUAUGCAGACACCAAGGUCGGCACUGUUGUUAAUCCGGCGCUCGGAACUAGCUUUGACACAGUUGAAGGAGCAUAUGAGUUUUACAACUUAUACUCCUGGGAGACUGGCUUCGGCGUCAGGUAUGACAAAAGCAGGCUGAACAUCCAUCGGAUAAAAUGCAUGCAGGAGUUUGUGUGCGCAUGCGCGGUGAGGACAAUUCAUUAA